AGUGAACGCUGGCGGUAGGCCUAACACAUGCAAGUCGAACGGCAGCACAGUAAGAGCUUGCUCUUACGGGUGGCGAGUGGCGGACGGGUGAGGAAUACAUCGGAAUCUACUUUUUCGUGGGGGAUAACGUAGGGAAACUUACGCUAAUACCGCAUACGACCCACGGGUGAAAGCAGGGGAUCUUCGGACCUUGCGCGAUUGAAUGAGCCGAUGUCGGAUUAGCUAGUUGGCGGGGUAAAGGCCCACCAAGGCGACGAUCCGUAGCUGGUCUGAGAGGAUGAUCAGCCACACUGGAACUGAGACACGGUCCAGACUCCUACGGGAGGCAGCAGUGGGGAAUAUUGGACAAGGGGCGCAAGCCUGAUCCAGCCAUACCGCGUGGGUGAAGAAGGCCUUCGGGUUGUAAAGCCCUUUUGUUGGGAAAGAAAAGCAGCAGGUUAAUACCCCGCUGUUCUGACGGUACCCAAAGAAUAGGCACCGGCUAACUUCG
rnacentral:rRNA from 1 species